AUGAACGCUAGCGACAGGCUUAACACAUGCAAGUCGAGGGGCAGCACAGGUAGCAAUACCGGGUGGCGACCGGCGCACGGGUGAGUAACGCGUAUGCAACUUGCCUAUCAGAGGGGGAUAACCCGGCGAAAGUCGGACUAAUACCGCAUGAAGCAGGGGCCCCGCAUGGGGAUAUUUGCUAAAGAUUCAUCGCUGAUAGAUAGGCAUGCGUUCCAUUAGGCAGUUGGCGGGGUAACGGCCCACCAAACCGACGAUGGAUAGGGGUUCUGAGAGGAAGGUCCCCCACAUUGGUACUGAGACACGGACCAAACUCCUACGGGAGGCAGCAGUGAGGAAUAUUGGUCAAUGGGCGUAAGCCUGAACCAGCCAAGUCGCGUGAGGGAUGAAGGUUCUAUGGAUCGUAAACCUCUUUUAUAAGGGAAUAAAGUGCGGGACGUGUCCCGUUUUGUAUGUACCUUAUGAAUAAGGAUCGGCUAACUCCGUGCCAGCAGCCGCGGUAAUACGGAGGAUCCGAGCGUUAUCCGGAUUUAUUGGGUUUAAAGGGUGCGUAGGCGGCCUUUUAAGUCAGCGGUGAAAGUCUGUGGCUCAACCAUAGAAUUGCCGUUGAAACUGGGGGGCUUGAGUAUGUUUGAGGCAGGCGGAAUGCGUGGUGUAGCGGUGAAAUGCAUAGAUAUCACGCAGAACCCCGAUUGCGAAGGCAGCCUGCCAAGCCAUUACUGACGCUGAUGCACGAAAGCGUGGGGAUCAAACAGGAUUAGAUACCCUGGUAGUCCACGCAGUAAACGAUGAUCACUAGCUGUUUGCGAUACACUGUAAGCGGCACAGCGAAAGCGUUAAGUGAUCCACCUGGGGAGUACGCCGGCAACGGUGAAACUCAAAGGAAUUGACGGGGGCCCGCACAAGCAGUGGAGUAUGUGGUUUAAUUCGACGCAACGCGAAGAACCUUACCAAGGCUUGACAUAUACAGGAAUAUAUAAGAGAUUAUAUAGCUCUUCGGAGUCUGUAUACAGGUGGUGCAUGGUUGUCGUCAGCUCGUGUCGUGAGAUGUUGGGUUAAGUCCCGCAACGAGCGCAACCCUUGCCACUAGUUACUAACAGGUAAAGCUGAGGACUCUGGUGGGACUGCCAGCGUAAGCUGCGAGGAAGGCGGGGAUGACGUCAAAUCAGCACGGCCCUUACAUCCGGGGCGACACACGUGUUACAAUGGCGUGGACAAAGGGAGGCCACCUGGCGACAGGGAGCGAAUCCCCAAACCACGUCUCAGUUCGGAUCGGAGUCUGCAACCCGACUCCGUGAAGCUGGAUUCGCUAGUAAUCGCGCAUCAGCCAUGGCGCGGUGAAUACGUUCCCGGGCCUUGUACACACCGCCCGUCAAGCCAUGGGAGCCGGGGGUACCUGAAGUCCGUAACCGAAAGGAUCGGCCUAGGGUAAAACUAGUGACUGGGGCU
rnacentral:rRNA from 1 species